rnacentral:tRNA from 1 species
CUUGUAGCUUAGACGUCAUAGCGUUGGUGCGUAAAGCCAAAAGUCCCGGGUUCGAUUCCAGGCAAG